rnacentral:misc_RNA from 1 species
UAAAAGCCACAAUGGAGAGGGACAGGAAGAUGAGAACUGAUUGCAAGGUGUACGUGGGCAAUCUUGGCAACACGGAAGCCAAACACGAACUUGAAUCAGCCUUUUCCAAGUAUGGGCCCCUUGUCAAUGUUUGGGUUGCAAGGAACCCUCCAGGCUUUGCUUUUGUGGAGUUUGAAGACCCACGGGAUGCAGAAGAUGCUGUGCGCUCGCUGAAUGGAACGCGUCUGUGUGGUGUCCGUGUUAAAGUGGAGAUGUCAACGGGCCGUUCACGUCGGGACAGGUUCCAUUCACCUCCACGGCGUGGGGGUGGCGGUGGAGGGGGUGGUGGCGGCGGCGGCGGCGGUGGAAGAAGAAGGUCUAGGACUAUCUCGCCCAAAUUACCUCUUGUACCACCACCAUCUACUCCUCCUACUGUUGCUACCACACCACCACCACCAACUCCACCACAGCCACCACCACCACAAGUACUUCCACCACCACUGCUAGUGACAGCUUCAGCCUGCUUAUUCAGUGGAAAUCCAGUGUUUGGGUGUGAGGGUACUGGGAUAGGCACACCCUGGAUGCAUCUGUUACUUGCCACCUGAGGCCACACUGGCAACUCAAGCUCACCUAGCAGAGUAUGACUGUUCCACAAAGCACUGUCAUGCCUCUUCUAUAGGGAAGCCUCGUGAAACAGUGUGGAAGAAGGUGGCAAGCUCUGAUCAGCCAAGGCUUGUGCAGUGGUGGUGGUGUGCGGCACGUUGCCUGAUGGCCAUCCUUCAGCGCCGCACCUCAUGGCACCCGGGCAGUCUAAUACGCUUCACGUGCCCUCUUCUCCCCGCCCGUCUACGCCUGCGCACCAUCAGGCCUGCCCCCCCACUCAUGAUCUGGGUCUCUGACCUUUCAACGCCCGCUCCACUUUCUUACAUUCAUCAUGCCUCCACUCAUCGUUGUGGCUCGCUGCAGUGGUGAUACACUUCUUGUUUGGACCGGUAUCAAUUUCUACAGUCUGUCAGUUUGUGAUGAGCAGUCAAGCGUAGGUCAUUCUCACCUCGCCGCAUGGGUGGCCGAUUCCGCUCAAGGUCUCCAAGGCGGUCAAGGUCACGCUCCCCCAGGUCUGUUUCUCGAUCACCAAGGUAUGAUGAUUAUCGUCGUCGAAGUGAUUCUCCUGAUUUCAAGAAA